rnacentral:rRNA from 1 species
AGUAUAUUUUAUUUGUUUAUAAUAUUUACUUUUGUUAAUUUAUUAUAAGGAAUUAGGCAAAAUUGAUUUCCGCCUGUUUAUCAAAAACAUGUCCUCUUGUUUAAGCUUUGAGGUCUAGCCUGCUCACUGACAAGGUUUUAAAGAGCCGCGGUAUUUUGACCGUGCAAAGGUAGCAUAAUCAUUAGUCUCUUAAUUAGGGGCUGGAAUGAAUGGCUUGACGAGAAAUCAACUGUCUCUUAUUAAAUUUUAGAAUUUAACUUUUAAGUUAAAAGGCUUAAAUUUUUUUUUAGGACGAGAAGACCCUAUAGAGCUUUACAUUUUACUUUUAUAUAGUUUUAAGUUGGUCUUUCUAUAUUUAAUAAUAAUGUUUUGUUGGGGUGACAUGAAGAAUAAAUAAACUCUUCAUUAUUAAAUCAUUAAUUUAUGUUUAUUUGAUCCAUAAUUUAUGAUCAUAAGAUUAAGUUACCUUAGGGAUAACAGCGUAAUUGUUUUUGAGAGCUCAUAUCGACAAUGCAGAUUGCGACCUCGAUGUUGGAUUAAGAAAAAUUUUGGGUGCAGUAGCCCAAUAAUUAGGUCUGUUCGACCUUUAAAUUCUUACAUGAUCUGAGUUCAGACCGGCGUGAGCCAGGUCGGUUUCUAUCCUAAAAUAUAAAAUUCAUAUUAGUACGAAAGGACCAUAUGAUUGAAAUAUUUUUUAUUAUAUUGAUUAAAAUUAAUA